rnacentral:rRNA from 1 species
UACGGAGGAUGCGAGCGUUAUCCGGAUUUAUUGGGUUUAAAGGGUGCGUAGGUGGUUUUUUAAGUCAGUGGUGAAAGUUUGUCGCUCAACGAUAAAAUUGCCAUUGAAACUGGAGAACUUGAGUAUGUUUGAGGUAGGCGGAAUGCGUGGUGUAGCGGUGAAAUGCAUAGAUAUCACGCAGAACUCCGAUUGCGAAGGCAGCUUACCAAACCAUAACUGACACUGAAGCACGAAAGCGUGGGUAUCAAACAGG